GUGCCAGCCGCCGCGGUAAUACCGGCAGCUCGAGUGAUGUCCAAUAUUAUUGGGCCUAAAGCGUCCGUAGCUGGCCGCGCAAGUCCGUCGGGAAAUCCACCUGCCCAACAGGUGGGCGUCCGGCGGAAACUGUGUGGCUUGGAACCGGAAGGCUCAGAGGGUACGUCCGGGGUAGGAGUGAAAUCCUGUAAUCCCGUCCGGACCACCGAUGGCGAAAGCACUUCGAGAAAACGGAUCCGACAGUGAGGGACGAAAGCUAAGAUCGCGAACCGGAUUAGAAACCCCGGUAGUCC
rnacentral:rRNA from 1 species